rnacentral:rRNA from 1 species
AGCAGUCGCCACGGUAAUACGUAGGUCCCGAGCGUUGUCCGGAUUUAUUGGGCGUAAAGGGAGCGCAGGCGGUUUAGUAAGUCUGAAGUUAAAGGCAUUGACUCAACCAAUGUAUGCUUUGGAAACUGUUAGACUUGAGUGCAGAAGGGGAGAGUGGAAUUCCAUGUGUAGCGGUGAAAUGCGUAGAUAUAUGGAGGAACACCGGUGGCGAAAGCGGCUCUCUGGUCUGUCACUGACGCUGAGGCUCGAAAGCGUGGGUAGCGAACAGGAUUAGAGACCCCUGUAGUCCCUGUCUCUUAUACA